GACGAACGCUGGCGGCGUGCUUAACACAUGCAAGUCGAACGGAGUGCCUAUGAUAGAGACUUCGGUCAAUGGAUUAGGUUACUUAGUGGCAAACGGGUGAGUAACGCGUAAGCAACCUGCCCUUCAGAUGGGGACAACAGCUGGAAACGGCUGCUAAUACCGAAUUCGUUCUUUUGUCGCAUGGCAGAGAGAAGAAAGGGAGGCUCUUCGGAGCUUUCGCUGAAGGAGGGGCUUGCGUCUGAUUAGCUAGUUGGAGGGGUAACGGCCCGACCAAGGCGACGAUCCAUAGCCGGCCUGAGAGGGUGGACGGCCACAUUGGGACUGAGACACGGCCCAGACUCCUACGGGAGGCAGCAGUGGGGAAUAUUGCACAAUGGGGGGAAACCCUGAUGCAGCGACGCCGCGUGAGCGAAGAGUAUUUCGGAUGUAAAGCUCUAUCAGCAGGGAAGAAAAUGACGGUACCUGACUAAGAAGCCCCGGCUAACUACGUGCCAG
rnacentral:rRNA from 1 species